AAUAUACUAAAUUUUCACUUUUUACCUUUAAUUUUGACUCUUCGUCUUAUUCAAAUUUUUUUUACGAUUGAUAUCUUUGUUUUUAUUAGAUGAUAAAUCAUGAAUAGUACUUUACGUGUGACUAAUUUUUUUCUAAUUUUCUGAAAAUUUUUCAAAUAAGACGAAUGAUCAAAUCGUUGGACACGGAAACCGUAGAAUUUAUU
rnacentral:pre_miRNA from 1 species